rnacentral:lncRNA from 1 species
AGAAGUGUCUCGAUGACAUCUUAUGGCAGAGACAAGAGAAAAGACGAUAGCUCCAGCCCUCCACAAGGUGGAGGACUGGCAUGAGAGGGGUAAGAGGUCCGAGUGAGGCGG